CUCUCAGAAACCUCCCCUGAUUGACAUGGAGUUUAAAAGCUGAUGCAGGAUGACCACAAAAUGGCGCAUCUUUCAACUCCCUUGGAUACAUCCUAUCUGGUUACAUGGACUUGUGUUAUAACAUUUAUUUGCAUGCAUGAAAAAAUGUCAUGAAAUGCCAACUGACACAGGAGACAGAUGUAGCUGCAUUGCCAUCUGUGGAGGUCUUCACAUACAGAUUGAGCAGAAGUUUAGGUAAGGCGGUGUCCAGAAUGGCUUGGGAAUUUCCCUCAUCUUGGGACAAGGAGAUGAACUUCACAAUUCUCCAUCACUGGAGCACCACAUGCACAUACAUGUGUAGCUCUGGAUGUGAGGGAAUCAUGGAGGUGAUGCACUAUCAAAAUAUACUCUUCAAGAUGGGAAGGCCCUCAGCACAGCAUUUCUCUGCAUUAUCUGAUAGACUCCACUCUAAGGGGCUGUUCCCAAGAAGCUUCUUUGCUGGUAUCUUUUAGGAUGACUUUUGGAUUUCCCCAUGCCCAGGAGGAUCUCCCUAACACAGUAUCCCGUGCUAUUUCAUUUGUUUGGUUUAGAGGAGGUUUAUCUGUGUACCUCUCAGAUGAUUCCCAGCUCCCCCAGAGGACCAAUCUACUCAGCAGGAGGAAAUCAC
ensembl:lncRNA